rnacentral:SRP_RNA from 1 species
GCUGGGUGUGGUGGCGGGCACCUGUAAUCCCAGCUACUCAGGAGGCUGAGACUGGAGAAUUGCUUGAACUCAGGAGCGGAGGGUGCAGUGAGCCGAGAUUGUGCCACUGCACUCCAGCCUGGGUGACAGAGCAAGACUCUGUCUUAA